CAGCGCUACCACUGGGCGAAGGGAGGGGUUGUUCCCUCUGCUCUGUGCUGUGCGGCCUCACCUCCAGCACUGGGUGUGGAUCUGGGUGCCAAAACAUAAGAAGGACAUAAAGAUUAAUUAGAGAGGGUCCAAAGGAGGGUCACAAAUAUGGUGAUGGGUCUGGAGGGCAAGACAUAUGAGGAGUGGCUGAGGCCCCUUGGUUUUCUCAGCUCAGGGCAGAGGAGCUGAGGGGAGGCUUGAUGGCUGCAGCUCCUCACAGGGAGUGGAGGGGCAGCGCUGAGCUCUGCUCUCUGUGACAGCUACAGGGCCCUUGGGAAUGGCAUGGAGCUGUGUCAGAGGAGGGGCAGCCGGGGGGUUGGAGACAGGGUCUGCGCCAGAGGGUGGCUGGGCCCUGAGCAGGUUCCCCAGGGCAGUGAUCAUGGCACCAAGCAUUUCAAGAAGUGUUUGGACAGUGCUUUCAGACACAGGUUUCAAAUUUUGGGUGAUACUGUGUGGAGCCAGGAGCUGGACUCAAUGCGAAUGUCCUCAGGACACUGGCCAGACUCAAGUGUUGAAUUUGCCUGUGUGGCCUUUGGUUCACCAAUACUGAGUGCUCAGGAAGAUGGUGGAGUCACCAUCCCAGGAGGUUUUCAAGAAAAUGGGGCACUGAGGAAAAUGGAUUUGUAGACACGGUGAUGCUAGGUUAAUGUUUGGACUAGAUGAUCUUAGUGGUCUUUCCAACCUUAAUGAUUCAAUGAUUCUAUUAUAUGAUUCUAUCCUUGUGAGUAAUUUCCAACAGUGGGUAUUCUGUGACUCUGUGAAGUGUUUGAGGGAACACAGUGCUAGUGUAUGAGUUGUAUGAGUCAGAAUCAGAGCAUUACACAAGUGAUAAUAUUACUACAUUAGCUGAUGUGGCUUGUAGGAGAGAUACCAAGCAAUAUCAAAAGUAAUAUUGUAGAAGUGUCAUGGAGAUUUUUUUUCUUAUUUUUAGUUUCAAGUUUGUAAUCACCAGUAGAACCUGGUUAAGAAACUUGCAUGUACUUAUAUUACCACUCAUGCAGAUAAAAGGUUAUGUCUUCGGCAGUGUGUCCCACAGUUACCCACUGGUUACAGAAAAGUGUUUGUUCUGAGCUAUGCCUACAAUAGCACAACACAGUGAUGCUUAUUCAGAUUCACUUAGCUUUAUCUGUACCAUUCUGCUUCAAAAAGGAAAGAAAAACAUGGAAAAUAAUGAUGAUAGUGUUUUUGUUGUUGUUGUUGUUGUUUUUUUUCUACUUCAUUUUAUUCAGAGCCCAAACUGUCUAUUUGCUUGUUUGCUUUUGUUGUAUGAACUUACUCUAAAGUGAUGGUACAGAUUACCAGACUGUUAUCCUGAAUAAAAAGUGCUGUCGUUAAUUUUCUUUGGCUGCUGCUAUGGGCCAUUAUUUCCAAUAGCUGUAGCUGUCACUUCCAGUACUGUGACCCAUCAGGAAAUCUCUCAGGAAACUGAAAGAGUUUACACAAUGGCCCGGCAAGAAUAUAAUUUGCAGGGUAGCAGAAGGUGCAUCUGCCUACUGUUCUCAGAUUUAUUCCGCAUUCUUAUCGGAGAGCUUAAAUAAGUACAAGUAAAUGCUCUUUAUGCUCUUUUUGUACUGUUGCACUGUCCACCUGCUGCUCCAUGGUGAGCUUGAGUGCCCUGAGACAGUAUAUCCUCCAUCCAUUGACUGCUUGCCAGCAUCAAGGCAAGUGCAAUCACAAGGGCUUGCUCUGCUUGUGUUAGAAUUACAGCCUUCUGCACACCACUUGCUCCAUGGGAAAAUGUCCAGUGCUGCAGAGAAUCCAGUGAUGAAAGUAAAGCUGGGAAGCAGCUUUUCAGGUACAUCUUUCCACUGAAAAUAUUACCCUCAAGGCACUGUUAUUAUGUUUUUGUCAUGAAAGUGAAAGAGGUAUAACUCAGGGAGCCUCAGGCGACAGCGAAUUACCAAGGACCUUCCUAUAAACACUGAGUGGAAAAUUAACUCCCACAUUACUGAGCUGGUCUGGUCUGGCUAAAUAUCCCGUAGUAGGAGAAUAAUUCACAGGUUGGUAAAAUGCUGGCGUUGCAUUCUACUACAUGCAUAAUUACCUUUGAUGUUUUUGUCCUUGCAAAGAUAAACACUACAGAGCAGUUAAUGU